GAUGAACGCUGGCGGCGUGCCUAAUACAUGCAAGCCGAGCGAACAGACGAGGAGCUUGCUCCUCUGACGUUAGCGGCGGACGGGUGAGUAACACGUGGAUAACCUACCUAUAAGACUGGGAUAACUUCGGGAAACCGGAGCUAAUACCGGAUAAUAUAUUGAACCGCAUGGUUCAAUAGUGAAAGACGGUUUUGCUGUCACUUAUAGAUGGAUCCGCGCCGCAUUAGCUAGUUGGUAAGGUAACGGCUUACCAAGGGAACGAUGCGUAGCCGACCGGAGAGGGGGAUCGGCCACACUGGAACUGAGACACGGUCCAGACUCCUACGGGAGGCAGCAGUAGGGAAUCUUCCGCAAUGGGCGAAAGCCUUACGGAGCAACGCCGCGUGAGUGAUGAAGGUCUUCGGAUCGUAAAACUCUGUUAUUAGGGAAGAACAAAUGUGUAAGUAACUAUGCACGUCUUGACGGUACCUAAUCAGAAAGCCACGGCUAACUACGUG
rnacentral:rRNA from 1 species